CCGCAGUCCGGCGCGCGCGCCGUGCCCCCGCCGCCGCCCACUGCAGCCGAGAAGGAUUUCUUGUGUGGCUGUAAAACUGCUACGUGCCACCUGGAGCUCGGUGAACGAAGGUCGGCUGGGGACCUGGUGCCCGGCGUGUCUGGCGGCUUGAAACAGAAACGCACUCGGACUGAGAGCAACAGGGCGGUCCUAGCUAAAAUUGACGUCGAGGAAAGACGAGAGAGAAAACUAUACAAUGACGAGCCGCCGACGCGCUUGCGACGGGCUCACGACCGCCAGUCCAUCCGGCUCCACAAGAAAUAGCAACUACUUUUGGCCGGGGUUAGACUUCCCAUACAGGCCAAAAUGAAAAGCCUUUCUAAUCCCGCCUACAAGGACUUGACAAGACAACGGAUUGACAUUAUCUCCUGAGAGAAUCCCAGAUUGACGCGGAUUCUAGAAGAACCUAGAAGUUUGUGAUCGCUUGCUUCAAAAUUACGGAUAUCAUUUCUUUACAAGCGGUGUCGGUGUGCAUCUAAAUUUGUGGACGAUUUUAUAUUUAUUUACAAAGUAUUUUUAUCCUUUAUCUUUGUUUAUUCGUUGAAAGUAUUAUUUAUAAUGUACCUAUUUAUUGAUAAAUUAUUUGUUGUAAUAAAAAACCAUUAAAAUUUA